CCCGGUGCAGCCACGUCCAGGGCGUGGCGGAGGGGCGGGCGGGGCCUGGAAGCUGCGAGGGCGUGGCCGUGCUCAAUGUUGUCUCCGCCGCUCGGUUGCCGUGAGUCCUGGGGCGGGUCCUUGGGCCUUUCUGAGCCUCAGCUUCUCACCUGUGAAAUGUGGGUAGGGCCACCUGCUCCCCAGUAGGGAGGGGUGCACAGGAUGAGAUGCAGGAAUGCUCCGACUGACCCCAGGAACUCCCCGUUGAUGGAAUGCCGGGUCGGUGACCUCGAAAACAUACUGGGGAAUUUCUUGCAAUGCCUUAUGCCUUUUAAAUUUUCGAUUGACGUGUAUUGGAUUAUUCUGAUACUUCUGAGCAUGUGGACGGUGAUUUUGAGAGGCUUUUAACAUCCGUUGGAGCACUUGGAUUAUACAUAGAAAAGAGAAAUGUAUUGGGUAUGUUGAUGAAAGAACGUCUAGCCUAAGAAAGUCUUACAAGAGUUCAUUUGAGCCAAACUGAUGACAAUUGCAGGCCUUUACAGAGCACCUACUUACUGGACCUUACCAUUUGCUGGCCCAAGAGCUGGAUGAAUUCCCAACACUUGGUAUCUUCGGCACACACAGCAGUAGAGAAGACUAUAGGUAAAGACAAGGAGAAUAAAAAAUAAUACAAACUGAUGUUGGGCCG